rnacentral:rRNA from 1 species
UACGGAAGGCAGCAGUGGGGAAUAUUGCACAAUGGGCGCAAGCCUGAUGCAGCCAUGCCGCGUGUAUGAAGAAGGCCUUCGGGUUGUAAAGUACUUUCAGUCGUGAGGAAGGUGUUAAGGUUAAUAACCUUAGCAAUUGACGUUAGCGACAGAAGAAGCACCGGCUAACUCCGUGCCAGCAGCCGCGGUAAUACGGAGGGUGCGAGCGUUAAUCGGAAUUACUGGGCGUAAAGGGCACGCAGGCGGUUAAUUAAGUUGGAUGUGAAAUCCCCGGGCUUAACCUGGGAAUGGCAUUCAAGACUGGUUAGCUAGAGUCUUGUAGAGGGGGUAGAAUUCCAUGUGUAGCGGUGAAAUGCGUAGAGAUGUGGAGGAAUACCGGUGGCGAAGGCGGCCCCUGGACAAAGACUGACGCUCAUGUGCGAAAGCGUGGGGAGCAAAACAGGGAUUAGAUA